CCUACGGGUGGCAGCAGUAGGGAAUCUUUCACAAUGGGCGAAAGCCUGAUGGAGCAACGCCGCGUGCAGGAUGAAGGCCUUCGGGUUGUAAACUGCUUUUAUAAGCGAGAAAUAUGAUGGUAACUUAUGAAUAAGGAUCGGCUAACUACGUGCCAGCGGCCGCCGUCAUACGUAGGAUCCGAGCAUUAUCCGGAGUGACUGGGUGUAAAGAGUUGCGUAGGUGGCAUAAUAAGUAGCUAGUGAAAUCUGGUGGCUCAACCAUUCAGACUAUUAGCUAAACUGUUAAGCUCGAGACCGUUAGGGGUAACUGGAAUUUCUAGUGUAGGAGUGAAAUCCGUAGAUAUUAGAAGGAACACCAAUAGCGUAGGCAGGUUGCUGGGACGGUUCUGACACUAAGGCACGAAAGCGUAGGGAGCAAACGGGAUUAGAAACCCCUGUAGUC
rnacentral:rRNA from 1 species